rnacentral:rRNA from 1 species
GUCGACGCGAACGCACCUUCGGGUGUUAGUAGAGUGGCGGACGGGUGAGUAACACUUGGGAAUCUGCCUAGUAGUGGGGGAUAACUCGGGGAAACUCGAGCUAAUACCGCAUACGCCCUACGGGGGAAAGAUUUAUCGCUAUUAGAUGAGCCCAAGUCAGAUUAGCUAGUUGGUAGGGUAAAGGCCUACCAAGGCGACGAUCAGUAGCUGGUCUGAGAGAACGAUCAGCCACACUGGGACUGAGACACGGCCCAGACUCCUACGGGAGGCAGCAGUGGGGAAUAUUGCACAAUGGGCGCAAGCCUGAUGCAGCAAUGCCGCGUGUGUGAAGAAGGCCUGCGGGUUGUAAAGCACUUUCAAUUGGGAAGAAAAGGUUAGGGUUAAUACCCCUGAUUCUUGACGUUACCUUUAGAAGAAGCACCGGCUAACUCCGUG